GUGAACCUGCGGAAGGAUCAUUA
rnacentral:ncRNA from 180 species